rnacentral:rRNA from 1 species
AGUGAACGCUGGCGGUAGGCCUAACACAUGCAAGUCGAACGGCAGCACAGUAAGAGCUUGCUCUUACGGGUGGCGAGUGGCGGACGGGUGAGGAAUACAUCGGAAUCUACUUUUUCGUGGGGGAUAACGUAGGGAAACUUACGCUAAUACCGCAUACGACCUACGGGUGAAAGCAGGGGAUCUUCGGACCUUGCGCGAUUGAAUGAGCCAAUGUCGGAUUAGCUAGUUGGCGGGGUAAAGGCCCACCAAGGCGACGAUCCGUAGCUGGUCUGAGAGGAUGAUCAGCCACACUGGAACUGAGACACGGUCCAGACUCCUACGGGAGGCAGCAGUGGGGAAUAUUGGACAAUGGGCGCAAGCCUGAUCCAGCCAUACCGCGUGGGUGAAGAAGGCCUUCGGGUUGUAAAGCCCUUUUGUUGGGAAAGUAAAGCAGCAGGUUAAUACCCCGCUGUUCUGACGGUACCCAAAGAAUAAGCACCGGCUAACUUCGUG